rnacentral:lncRNA from 1 species
GUUCAGAGUAGGGACUAGAAAAAUAUUUGUAACUUGUGAGGUAGCAAUAGAACAUCUUUGCAAAGAUAUCAGUUUUACAACAUUCAAAACAAAACUAGACAUCUAUAUAAAACUGGCAAGACUUACAUUUAAAACAUCAAGAUAUAAAAAUAUAAGCCAAAUUUACCCUAAGAGUCUGAGCUGCGCCAGAUAGAAAUGGUCCUUAUUUAAGUUCAAGUAUACACAUGUACAUGUUAAAGACUUUGGUUGGUUAUGGACCAUCCAAAUAGGAUAUAAAAGAUGAAUCUGAUCUGUUUUGUAGGAGUUCUCGCUGCAUUGAAGACCCAUUGGUGGUCUUCGGCUAUUGUCUGCUCUUUGGUCAGGUUGUUGUCUCUUUGACACAUUCCCCAUUUCCAUUCUCAAUUUUAUUUUUAUAUAAUCUCCAUUUCCCAAAAGUUGAAGACUUUGCAUUAAGAUUUUUUCAACCCAAAAGAAAUAAACAGAUGUAUUGAUAAUGGCAGUUAUUCCAGUGGCGGAUCCAGUCAAUUUUAAAAAGGGGGGGUUCCCAACACAGAGUAAAGGGGGGGGUUCCAACUAUAUGCUCCCAUUCAAAUGCAUUGAUCGGUCAAAAAAAAGGGGGGUUCCAACCCCCUCAACCCCUCCCCGCUUGGAUUCGCCACUGUAUUGAUUUGCAUAAGGCAUAUCUAUCAGACGCAGCUCAUUUGUUAUUAAAAAUACAAAGAUGCAGGAUCGAAAUUUCAUUCACAUCUUGUGAAUUUGACUCCUGGAACUUAUUCAUACUCUACUGAUAAAUUACUGCUGAUUAAACUGUCAUAACAUCACAAGCACAGCAUAUACGAACCUUAAGACAGUAAAGAGCAGACUAAUUUUUCCAUUCACAUCCAUAAUCAAAAAUGUACAUGAGAAUAUAAAGAAAUUUUAUAUCAAAGAACAGUUUGGCCCUUUAAUUUCAUCAAAAAUACAAACGUUGCUUAAUGUCAUUCCUUACCACAUUUUUGUAAGCACCAUAAGAAAGGCUUUUCAGAAAAUGUUAAGCUUAGCCAUGCGUUUACUUCUGAUGUAAUGAGAAAGAAUUGUCGGACAUUUAAAUCCAAAUGGCUCAUAGAAAGAACAUUUCGGUUAUUAUGAUUUAUAAAAAAGUACAAAUUUUGCCCCAAAUAAUUAUGGUAAAUGAAUAAAUUAACACAAAAUGCCUUUACUUAAAUAUCAUUUUGUGCACCUGCUAUGCUCUAUAUUACAUUCUCUAUAUAACAUUUAAGCAAGUGUUUAUUAUUUAGACUAAGGUUUUGCAUAUUUUAAGCCAUUUACAUUAACUUUUAACAUGUUACUGUAAUUGCAUGGCUGUAAAACUUGUGAAAACAACAUGAAAAUAUAUUAUUAAAAUAAAUACAUGUACAUUCUGCAUUUAAUUCACUAAAUCUGAGACAGUUAAAAAUAUAUUUGAUUUUAGGGCCAAUUUGCAAUUUUAGCCCCAAAUUUUUUUUUUGGCCUGCAUGAUAUAUUGUAAAAAUAAUGUUGCCUCGUUAGGUUUUUCUAUGGAUCUUUUAACUAUAAGGAUAAAUCUAUCAAAACAUUAUAGCGUAUAAAUUGAUGCCCUAUAAAAACUGUACAAAUCAACACCACAAAUACAAAAAAUAUUGCACAAAAUGUAAAAUACUGUCACAACACUGAUUGCUACAAUCGUUCUAUAU